rnacentral:tRNA from 1 species
UCCCAUAUGGUCUAGCGGUUAGGAUUUCUGGUUUUCACACAGACGUCCUGGGUCCGACUCCCGGUAUGGGAA